GAUGAACGCUGGCGGCGUGCUUAACACAUGCAAGUCGAGCGAAGCGCUUUGGGAAGAUUCUUCGGAUGAUUUCCUUUGUGACUGAGCGGCGGACGGGUGAGUAACGCGUGGGUAACCUGCCUCAUACAGGGGGAUAACAGUUAGAAAUGACUGCUAAUACCGCAUAAGACCACGGUACCGCAUGGUACAGUGGUAAAAACUCCGGUGGUAUGAGAUGGACCCGCGUCUGAUUAGGUAGUUGGUGGGGUAACGGCCUACCAAGCCGACGAUCAGUAGCCGACCUGAGAGGGUGACCGGCCACAUUGGGACUGAGACACGGCCCAGACUCCUACGGGAGGCAGCAGUGGGGAAUAUUGCACAAUGGAGGAAACUCUGAUGCAGCGACGCCGCGUGAAGGAUGAAGUAUUUCGGUAUGUAAACUUCUAUCAGCAGGGAAGAAAAUGACGGUACCUGACUAAGAAGC
rnacentral:rRNA from 1 species